UACGGGGGGGGCAAGCGUUGUUCGGAAUUACUGGGCGUAAAGGGUUCGUAGGUGGCUUGUUAAGUCAGACGUGAAAUCCCUCGGCUCAACCGGGGAACUGCGUCUGAGACUGAUGAGCUCGAGUGCAGGAGAGGAACGCGGAAUUCCAGGUGUAGCGGUGAAAUGCGUAGAUAUCUGGAGGAACACCGGUGGCGAAGGCGGCGUUCUGGACUGCAACUGACACUGAGGAACGAAAGCCGGGGGAGCAAACGGG
rnacentral:rRNA from 1 species